AACGAACGCUGGCGGCAUGCCUAACACAUGCAAGUCGAACGAGACCUUCGGGUCUAUUGGCGCUCGGGUGCGUAACGCCUGGGAACCUGCCCUUAGGUUCGGAAUAACUCCCCGAAAGGGGUGCUAAUACCGGAUAAUGUCUUCGGACCAAAGAUGUAUCGCCUUUGGAUGGGCGCGCGUUGGAUUAGCUAGUUGGUAGGGUAAAAGCCUACCAAGGCGAGGAUCCAUAGCUGGUCUGAGAGGAUGAUCCGCCACACUGGGACUGAGACACGGCCCAGACUCCUACGGAAGGGAGCAGAGGGGAAUAUAGGACAAUGGGGGAAAGCCUGACCCAGCAAUGCCGGGUGAGUGAUGAAGGCCGUAGGGAUGUAAAGCUCUUUUACCCGGGAUGAUAAUGACAGUACCGGGAGAAUAAGCGCCGGCUAACUCCGUG
rnacentral:rRNA from 1 species